rnacentral:piRNA from 1 species
CCGGUCCGUAGAACUGUAGUGCUGUCAUC